UCUCCGUUGGUGAACCAGCGGAGGGACCAUUACCGAGUUUUUCUACUCCCAAACUCCCGUGAACUUAUACCUUUACUGUUGCUUCGGUGGGUUAACGCCCCGGAAGGCCCAAAAAGCCGCCGGAACCAGGUGCCCGCCUGCGGUCCCAAACUCUUGUAUUUCUUACUUUGCAUGUCUGAGUGGAAUCAUAAACAAAUGAAUCAAAACUUUCAACAACGGGUCUCUUGGUUCUG
rnacentral:misc_RNA from 1 species